rnacentral:lncRNA from 1 species
UCCCGUUCUCCUAGCUAGGUGUCUUCAUCAGUUAAAAAUGCUUCCUUGAUCUUUUAACGAUCCCACACAUCCAGGACUAAAAUAUUCUUAUCUGGUGUCUCCUUUCUCUUAAAACACAUUUCCGUACUCUCGUAGCAAAUCAAUACCUCUUCAAUGGUGGGGGUCAAUUCAACAUCCCCAAAGCAAAAUACCAUGUUCUGAUCAUCCCAAAAAGUUGUUAGUACAUGGAUCCUUUCGG